AGGAAUUUUCCGCAAUGGGCGAAAGCCUGACGGAGCAAUACCGCGUGAGGGAGAAGGAUUUUGGUCUGUAAACCUCUUUUCUCAAGAAAGAAGUUCUGACGGUACUUGAGGAAUAAGCAUCGGCUAACUCCGUGCCASCAGCCGCGGUAAUACGGGGGAUGCAAGCGUUAUCCGGAAUCAUUGGGCGUAAAGCGCCKGUAGGUUGUUUAAUAAGUCUGUUGUUAAAGCCUAGGGCUUAACCCUAGAAAAGCAAUGGAAACUACUAGACUAGAGUAUGGCAGGGGUAGAGGGAAUUUCUAGUGUAGCGGUGAAAUGCGUAGAUAUUAGAAAGAACACCGGUGGSGAAAGCGCUCUACUGGACCAUUACUGMCACUCAGAGGCGAAAGCUAGGGAAGCAAAAGGGAUUAGAUACCCCUGUAGUCCUASCCGUAAACGAUGGAUACUAGAUGUUGAGCUUUAUGUACAGUAUCCUAGCUAACGCG
rnacentral:rRNA from 1 species